rnacentral:rRNA from 1 species
UACGAAGGUGGCAAGCGUUAAUCGGAAUUACUGGGCGUAAAGCGAGCGUAGUCGGUUAUUUAAGUCGGGUGUGAAAGCCCCGGGCUCAACCUGGGAAUUGCAUUCGAUACUGGAUAGCUAGAGUUCGGCAGAGGGAAGCGGAAUUUCCGGUGUAGCGGUGAAAUGCGUAGAUAUCGGAAGGAACAUCAGUGGCGAAAGCGGCUUCCUGGACCAGAACUGACGAUCAGGCUUGAAAGCGUGGGGAGCAAACAGG